rnacentral:rRNA from 1 species
AUUGAACGCUGGCGGCAUGCUUUACACAUGCAAGUCGAACGGUAACAGGCCUUCGGGUGCUGACGAGUGGCGAACGGGUGAGUAAUGCAUCGGAACGUACCCAGAGGUGGGGGAUAACGCAGCGAAAGCUGUGCUAAUACCGCAUGUGAUCUGAGGAUGAAAGCGGGGGACCGAGCAGCAAUGUUUGGCCUCGCGCCUUUGGAGCGGCCGAUGUCGGAUUAGCUAGUUGGUGGGGUAAAGGCCUACCAAGGCGACGAUCCGUAGCUGGUCUGAGAGGACGACCAACCACACUGGGACUGAGACACGGCCCAGACUCCUACGGGAGGCAGCAGUGGGGAAUUUUGGACAAUGGGCGCAAGCCUGAUCCAGCAAUGCCGCGUGCGGGAAGAAGGCCUUCGGGUUGUAAACCGCUUUUGGCAGGAACGAAACGGUGUCCGCUAAUACCGGGCGCUAAUGACGGUACCUGCAGAAUAAGCACCGGCUAACUACGUG